rnacentral:rRNA from 1 species
AUGGGCUAUGCAAAAAUUCAUGUUGAUGCUGGGGUAAGAUUUGAGCGUGGAGGAUCUGCAGCGACUAUUUGCAGGGAUGAGCAAGGAUUUUACCUUGGAAGUUCUGCACUAGUCAUCUACGGGGUUUGUGAUCCGGCAGCCCUGGAAGCGAUUUCAUGUCGGAAGGCGCUAGCCUUGGCAGAAGAUCUCAAUUUGCAACAGUUCAUCGUUGCUUCCGACUGUAAACAAGUUGUUUCAGAUAUUUCUAAGGGGGCCAGAGGGCGGUAUGGCGCCAUCAUAAGCGAAAUUGUUCUCCACCCCUCAAAAAAAAAGUUGUGUAAUUUCAUUCAUGAGCGUAGAAACUAUAACUUUGAGGCUCAUAAACUUGCCAAGUUCUCUUGUAAACCUAGGAUUAGGCAGACAUGUUUGGUUGGGCAUUCCUCAUGA